rnacentral:rRNA from 1 species
UCCUGGAAACGGGUGGUAAUGCCGGAUGUGCCGGGCUCCUGCAUGGGGGUCCGGGAAAGCUCUGGCGGCGUCGGAUGGGGUUGCGUCCUAUCAGCUUGUUGGCGGGGUGAGGGCUCACCAAGGCUUCGACGGGUAGCCGGCCUGAGAGGGCGACCGGCCACAUUGGGACUGAGAUACGGCCCAGACUCCUACGGGAGGCAGCAGUGGGGAAUAUUGCACAAUGGGCGCAAGCCUGAUGCAGCGACGCCGCGUGCGGGAUGGAGGCCUUCGGGUUGUAAACCGCUUUUGUUUGGGAGCAAGCCCUUCGGGGUGAGUGUACCUUUCGAAUAAGCACCGGCUAACUACGUGCCAGCAGCCGCGGUAAUACGUAGGGUGCGAGCGUUAUCCGGAUUUAUUGGGCGUAAAGGGCUCGUAGGCGGUUCGUCGCGUCCGGUGUGAAAGUCCAUCGCCUAACGGUGGAUCUGCGCCGGGUACGGGCGGGCUGGAGUGCGGUAGGGGAGACUGGAAUUCCCGGUGUAACGGUGGAAUGUGUAGAUAUCGGGAAGAACACC